rnacentral:rRNA from 1 species
GGAUUAGAUACCCUGGUAGUCCACGCCGUAAACGAUGUGCACUAGAUCGAGGUGCUUUUCACGGCUUCUCGGUCGUAGUAAAAACGUUAAGUGCACCGCCUGGGGAGUACGGUCGCAAGGCUAAAACUCAAAGGAAUUGACGGGGGCUCACACAAGCGGUGGAGCAUGUUGCUUAAUUCGAGACAACGCGAAGAACCUUACCUGGGUUUGACAUGCACGGAUUAGUCCGGUGAAAGUCGGGUGACGCCUUUCAGGUGGAACGUGCACAGGUGCUGCAUGGCUGUCGUCAGCUCGUGCCG